rnacentral:rRNA from 1 species
UGCAAGUCGAGCGGUAGCACAGAGAGCUUGCUCUCGGGUGACGAGCGGCGGACGGGUGAGUAAUGUCUGGGAAACUGCCUGAUGGAGGGGGAUAACUACUGGAAACGGUAGCUAAUACCGCAUAACGUCGCAAGACCAAAGUGGGGGACCUUCGGGCCUCAUGCCAUCAGAUGUGCCCAGAUGGGAUUAGCUAGUAGGUGGGGUAACGGCUCACCUAGGCGACGAUCCCUAGCUGGUCUGAGAGGAUGACCAGCCACACUGGAACUGAGACACGGUCCAGACUCCUACGGGAGGCAGCAGUGGGGAAUAUUGCACAAUGGGCGCAAGCCUGAUGCAGCCAUGCCGCGUGUGUGAAGAAGGCCUUCGGGUUGUAAAGCACUUUCAGCGGGGAGGAAGGCGGUGAGGUUAAUAACCUCAUCGAUUGACGUUACCCGCAGAAGAAGCACCGGCUAACUCCGUGCCAGCAGCCGCGGUAAUACGGAGGGUGCAAGCGUUAAUCGGAAUUACUGGGCGUAAAGCGCACGCAGGCGGUCUGUCAAGUCGGAUGUGAAAUCCCCGGGCUCAACCUGGGAACUGCAUUCGAAACUGGCAGGCUAGAGUCUUGUAGAGGGGGGUAGAAUUCCAGGUGUAGCGGUGAAAUGCGUAGAGAUCUGGAGGAAUACCGGUGGCGAAGGCGGCCCCCUGGACAAAGACUGACGCUCAGGUGCGAAAGCGUGGGGAGCAAACAGGAUUAGAUACCCUGGUAGUCCACGCUGUAAACGAUGUCGAUUUGGAGGUUGUGCCCUUGAGGCGUGGCUUCCGGAGCUAACGCGUUAAAUCGACCGCCUGGGGAGUACGGCCGCAAGGUUAAAACUCAAAUGAAUUGACGGGGGCCCGCACAAGCGGUGGAGCAUGUGGUUUAAUUCGAUGCAACGCGAAGAACCUUACCUGGUCUUGACAUCCACAGAACUUUCCAGAGAUGGAUUGGUGCCUUCGGGAACUGUGAGACAGGUGCUGCAUGGCUGUCGUCAGCUCGUGUUGUGAAAUGUUGGGUUAAGUCCCGCAACGAGCGCAACCCUUAUCCUUUGUUGCCAGCGGUUAGGCCGGGAACUCAAAGGAGACUGCCAGUGAUAAACUGGAGGAAGGUGGGGAUGACGUCAAGUCAUCAUGGCCCUUACGACCAGGGCUACACACGUGCUACAAUGGCAUAUACAAAGAGAAGCGACCUCGCGAGAGCAAGCGGACCUCAUAAAGUAUGUCGUAGUCCGGAUUGGAGUCUGCAACUCGACUCCAUGAAGUCGGAAUCGCUAGUAAUCGUAGAUCAGAAUGCUACGGUGAAUACGUUCCCGGGCCUUGUACACACCGCCCGUCACACCAUGGGAGUGGGUUGCAAAAGAAGUAGGUAGCUUAAC